ACAACGAACUUGGCCUAACUUCGUGUCACGACACAUGGCACGUCUUCCACUUCAUCCAAUAGGUUCCAUGCACCCGCGUCACUCUCUCUCCUCAAUCUCAAUUCUUCACUCUUCCACCUGCAACCCUUACCCUUCCAUUUCUUCAAUCUCGACUCCUUCAAUUCUCUGUUGAAGUGGAUCAGACAAUAAUUAGGCAAUUUUAGUGAGAGAGUGACUGAUGAAGAAUCAUGAGGUAUGGUAUUAAUUAUAUAAUCAUCAAAUGUCAAUUCUACACUUUUGGGGUUUUCGCUAAUUUAAUUGUUUUUUAGUCAAAUAUCUGUGGAAUUAUCGUUAAUUAUACAAGUUUUUUCUCUUUAAAAUCCAAAUUCUUAAAUAAAUAACCUCCAAAUCGACACAAAUUUUCAAAAUAUCCGUGAAUUGUUAAUCACCCAGAUGAAAAUUUGACGAACUCGAAACCCGGCUUUGAGUCCAAACUUGAAAGAUGAGCAGUCUUCUCGAUAUUUCUCUUAUAGAAUAGUUAUCAACAUGGAAGAUCUGGCAGGACACCCAAAUAGCAAGAAAGCACAAGAUAAUGAUAUGGAGCAUUAAAGAAGUGAGGACAGAGGUAAAACAAAUGAAGAAAAUGAGGAAGAAGAAAGUAAGAUGAACUUCUCUAGGUCGGACGAAAUGAGGCUUAGCAUUGCUCGUCUUCAUGAGGAAAUCAAGAUUUUGAGCUUUCUCCUCGUUUGAAGCGUAAUCAGAGCUCUCCAAUGAAGACUUGAAGGGUACUCUGCGUUUUAUCUCCUCCAUUAAAGCAGCUUCUUGAGGUACUUUUGAAGAUAUUUUUGAACGUUUUCGAGGAAUUCUUAUGAAGGAAUGAUUGACUGAAGGGUACAACUUCUGAAUUGAACUUCUGUUUUCUGUUGGAAAGGCUAGAUUUCAGGAUCAUGUAGCUAUCAUCUAGCUACCAGGCAUGGACUGAAUCUAGAUCUUGUGGAUCUAGAAGGUCAACUCACUUAUUAGCUGCCACGGGAAGAUGAGAUGGAUCUUGAGACUGAUCUUGGCUCCAGAAAGAGUAGAGCUCUAAAGAUGAAGAAACUUCCAAAACUGGUGUCGCAAAGUCUCUGGCAUUUCAGUGGACGAUUGUGAAUUUAGAGCUACCCUUGAAGAUAUGUUGAAUUCGAGCCCAAAAUUUAUAGUUGGCAGCAAGUAUGUAAGGUUGGCAGUUAAUAGUUGAUGUAAAGUAUAGCAGCAAUAUAUAAACCAGAGGAUACAGUAGAAAUUCACAAAGCAACCUUAUGUGCAUGCAUGAGAUGAGUAUUCUUUCCUCUGGAAUGGGAAUUUUAAUUAAAAGAAGCAUUUUCUAAACAAUUUUGUACUAGAUUUGAAAUUUCGUAUUGAUGAUUACAUUGAAGUAUUGAACAUUGAGAUGUAAUUGAAGAUGAAAUUCAACAUUUAUUGUUAAGAUCAUGUUAUCUGUUUGUCACGUUAAAGUACCUUUGUUGCUAAACGGGUAUGUUUCCUAUGUAUGAGGAACAGAUGGAAUUCUGUUAUAACUGGCACUGAAGAUGAAAUUGCAAAUACUGGUGUUGAAAAGUUUCCAGUA